rnacentral:rRNA from 1 species
GGACGAACGCUGGCGGCGUGGAUUAGGCAUGCAAGUCGAACGGUAGGAUACCUUCGGGGUAUCUGAGAGUGGCGAACGGGUGAGUAACGCGUAGGUGAUCUACCUUCAGGUGGGGGACAACCCGGGGAAACCCGGGCUAAUACCGCAUGUGGCAGUAAUGCUAAAGUUGGCCUCUGUAUAUGCUGACGCCUGGAGAUGAGCCUGCGUCCGAUUAGCUAGUUGGCGGGGUAACGGCCCACCAAGGCGAUGAUAGGUAGGCGGCUUUAACGAGUGGUCGCCCACACUGGGAUUGAGAUACGGCCCAGACUCCUACGGGAGGCAGCAGUCGAGGAUAGUCUACAAUGGUCGAGAGAUUGAUAGUGCGACGCCGCGUGAACGAAGAAGCAUUUCGGUGUUGUAAAGUUCUUCUCUAUGGGAGCAGGGCAUCCGAUGUUAACAGCAUGGGAUGUUUGAUAUUACUAUAGGAAUAAGCCACGGCUAACUCCGUGCCAGCAGCCGC